rnacentral:rRNA from 1 species
GAUGAACGCUGGCGGCGUGCCUAAUACAUGCAAGUCGAGCGAACAGAUGAGGAGCUUGCUCCUCUGACGUUAGCGGCGGACGGGUGAGUAACACGUGGAUAACCUACCUAUAAGACUGGGAUAACUUCGGGAAACCGGAGCUAAUACCGGAUAAUAUAUUGAACCGCAUGGUUCAAUAGUGAAAGACGGUUUUGCUGUCACUUAUAGAUGGAUCCGCGCCGCAUUAGCUAGUUGGUAAGGUAACGGCUUACCAAGGCAACGAUGCGUAGCCGACCUGAGAGGGUGAUCGGCCACACUGGAACUGAGACACGGUCCAGACUCCUACGGGAGGCAGCAGUAGGGAAUCUUCCGCAAUGGGCGAAAGCCUGACGGAGCAACGCCGCGUGAGUGAUGAAGGUCUUCGGAUCGUAAAACUCUGUUAUUAGGGAAGAACAAAUGUGUAAGUAACUAUGCACGUCUUGACGGUACCUAAUCAGGAAGCCACGGCUAACUACGU